UUAAAUUUGGAAGACUAACUAUUUACUGCAUUAGAACGCAUAGUUAAUUUGCUAUUAUACUUGAGAUGCAACUCUAGUUUCUCCAUAAUGUAAUUGGACAAAAUUUUAAAAGGAUCAGCUCCUUUUGCAGAGCACAAAAUUAUUGUCACUACAAUACAUUAUUUUGGUACAUAAAUAAUCCUCCAUAUUU